rnacentral:rRNA from 1 species
AACGAACGCUGGCGGCAUGCCUAACACAUGCAAGUCGAACGAGACCUUCGGGUCUAGUGGCGCACGGGUGCGUAACGCGUGGGAACCUGCCUUUAGGUUCGGAAUAACUCAGAGAAAUUUGAGCUAAUACCGGCUGAUGUCUUCGGACCAAAGAUUUAUCGCCUUUAGAUGGGCCCGCGUUGGAUUAGCUAGUUGGUGGGGUAAAGGCCUACCAAGGCGACGAUCCAUAGCUGGUCUGAGAGGAUGAUCAGCCACACUGGGACUGAGACACGGCCCAGACUCCUACGGGAGGCAGCAGUGGGGAAUAUUGGACAAUGGGCGAAAGCCUGAUCCAGCAAUGCCGCGUGAGUGAUGAAGGCCUUAGGGUUGUAAAGCUCUUUUACCCGAGAUGAUAAUGACAGUAUCGGGAGAAUAAGCUCCGGCUAACUCCGUG